AAACCGUUCAGGGGUAAACCUGAGAAACCCGAGAGAUCGAUCGGGGAGAUUCACCGUCAGCGAGGCUGGCUUCGCGGUGGUUCGCGAUGUGCGGCGCCACGGCGUCGCGGCACGCACCCGCCGCGUUAGCGCCCAGUCGCGUCGGCGUGCACUUCUCCCCUAGUAGGACGUCGCGACCCGUCGAGUGUCGGCCUACGGCACGGGAGAGAGCCUGUCACGUUGCGCCUCGGCGCACGGGGCAGAACCCCGUUGUCCCGACCGGCUGCUCGGCGGUACACGCACGGUAUAGGGCCGCAGACUCAGCGAGACUGCGUCCAGGCCCGUCGCAAGCGACGGCCAGUGUAUACCCGGAGUGCCACGGACCCAG
rnacentral:rRNA from 1 species